UCAAACUUGGUCAUUUAGAGGAAGUAAAAGUCGUAACAAGGUCUCCGUUGGUGAACCAGCGGAGGGAUCAUUACCGAGUUUACAACUCCAAAACCCACUGUGAACCUUACCUAUCGUUGCUUCGGCGGGCUAGCCCUGGCGCCUCCCCGGCACCAGAUAUCAGGCGCCCGCCGGGGGUCCGAAACUCUUGCUUUGUUAGUGGUUUUCUCUCCGAGUGGCACAAGCAAAAUGAAUCAAAACUUUCAACAACGGAUCUCUUGGUUCUGGCAUCGAUGAAGAACGCAGC
rnacentral:misc_RNA from 1 species